CUUGGUCAUUUAGAGGAAGUAAAAGUCGUAACAAGGUUUCCGUAGGUGAACCUGCGGAAGGAUCAUUAUUGAAGAAAAUGAAUCUAGAGUCGGUUGUCGCUGGCCCUCCGGGCAUGUGCACGCCUUCUCUUUUUCAUCCACACACACACACACACACCUGUGCAUUUGUGAGACGGGAGGGUCUAUUUUAUUAUGGACCUUUUCGUCUAUUAAAACCCACACAAACUCAUUUAUUUUGAACCGAAUGUAAUUGAUGUAGCACAUCAUUUGAACUAAGUUUCAACAACGGAUCUCUUGGCUCUCGCAUCGAUGAAGAACGCAGCGAAAUGCGAUAAGUAAUGUGAAUUGCAGAAUUCAGUGAAUCAUCGAAUCUUUGAACGCACCUUGCGCCCCUUGGUAUUCCUUGGAGCAUGCCUGUUUGAGUAUCAUGAAAUUCUCAAAGCAAGCCUUUUGUUAAUUCAAUCGGUCUUCUUGCUUUGGACUUGGAGGCUUGCAGAUUUCACACUCUGCUCCUCUUAAAUUCAUUAGCUGGAUCUCGGUGUAUGCUCGGUUCCACUCGGCGUGAUAAGUAAAUCACUCGUCGAGGACACUGUUAAAAAGGUGGCCGGGAAAUGCAGACGAACCGCUUUCAAUGGUCUAUUGAAUUAGACAAUACUCUUAAGAUCUCUGAUCUCAAAUCAGGCAGGACUACCCGCUGAACUUAAGCAUAUCAAUAAGCGGAGGAAAAGAAACUAACAAGGAUUCCCCUAGUAACGGCGAGUGAAGCGGGAAGAGCUCAAAUUUAAAAUCUGGCAGUGUAUUCUGUCCGAGUUGUAGUCUAGAGAAGCAUCAUCCGCGCUGGACCGUGUACAAGUCUCCUG
rnacentral:rRNA from 1 species